CAGUGUAUUUUAUUUAGUGCUAAGAUAAUUAUUUAUCUGUUAUUUGUUUCUAAUUCUAUUUUAGUGCAAUUGAAAGUUCUAAUAUGAAUAAUAUUCUUUUUGUUGUAAUGUAUAUAUAUACUCUGUGUUAUUUUAAUGUAAUAGCAUUGUUGUUGAAAUUUAUAAUUUAUUAAUGGCGCUGUUUCAUUAUUUUGUUUUAAGUGGUUAUAUUUAUAGAGUGUUUGCUUAAUUAAUUUAAUUUAAUAUACGCAUAGUGUAUUAUCACCCGUCACUACUGCGUAACAUAACCUUAUUUCCUUACACCAAACUUAAUACAAUAUUACUAUAAUAGCUUAAUACAAUAUAACAAUCCUUUUAUUUUAAUUAUGUCUGUCGUUGAUACUCGGUUAAAUUAUCUUAAUUAAUUUCUAACCUAUUUAUACACUAUUGGCUAUUUCUGUUUAUUUCUUACAAAGUUUUCGUUACUUGUGCUUGUGAUUUGCCGGUUUUACCCAUAAUUUUAGAACUAAUCUAUACAUUGUUAGUAAGAAGUCAUUAUUGUUUAUAAUUUCUACAAUUCUAUUUCUUCAACACUGUGUCCUUCGCUUGGAGCAGUUACACGGUGCGCAUUGGGUAUCAUCUGAUUCUUCGUUACAUUGUUAACGCUUAUUAUAACUACCUUUACUUAUCCUAGAACUUUUCCUGUUGGUGUCUUGACUAUUUCGAUAGUGUCUCCUUCAGUAUUCCGUUAUGAUUGUUUACCUCUGUAUUUAUUACCUUCGGUAUUCUCGUACCUGUGAGUAGAGUGGUCUCAAAAUUCUUCAUUGGCCAAUCUCGUAUACUAUGUUCUACAGAGUAGAUCCAUAAUUUGUCUCUAUGGAAUUCCUGCAUGUACACUUCCUUCUACGAUGAUUAAUUGUUCACAAGGUUUCUACUAUCUGCAGUAUUCGACAAGCAGUGUUGUUUUUUCGACCAAUCGCGGGGAGACGCGGUCGCGAGAAUACGCGUCAACGGGAGUCGUAAAUUCCCGUUACGAUUGUAAUAAUCGAUACCACGAAUAGAUCGAUCCCCUUAUUUCGUUUAGGAUAAUAGGGGUAAUUGUUGUAGUAUAACACUGCAAUUUACAGGGCUAUAAGUUUGUAUAUUUCCAACACUUAAUACACUAAAGAGAUACAGCGUGAUUGACGAAUACGAAUCGAGGAGGAGACUUUGACUGUUCUAGUGCUUGAGAUAGAGAUUAGAGAGAGUGACCGCUCUCUCGUGUAGAGAACCAGUAAGUUUCAUUCUUGUGUCAUUACGAAGGAAAGCUCGGUGUGGGUGUGUCUGUUGAACUAAGAAAACGGAUUCGUUGCUCACACUUUUCGUUAGUAGAGUGAGGGCAACGAUCUGCGAUGACCAUUGGUUAUAGCCAACGUGAACAGAUGACGAUUGGAGGAGGAAGCCUCCGAUCGGCGUGACUCGGGGUUGACUUUAUUCAUAGGAAAAAUCGGCUUUUCGGUUAGACACUUAUCCACUUUUUCCGUUAGGUGACUACCUCCUUUCUCCGUAAUUUGUAAGAACGUAUAAUAAACCCAAGGAUCGUUUUAAGUACCAGCUAUGCACCGAGAAUAUUUCUAGGAUGAGGAAUUCCUUUAGGUCAAACAUGUGAAGUGAAAACAUAUCGAAACAAUGACGUUAAAAUGUUAACGUUUUACGGUGGGUUCUUGGAUUUAUUGGGGGUCGAAGGACGGUGCGUAGACCGUCGGUGGUCAAGCCGCGCGGGAUGGAGUGCAGAUGUCUUGCGCGACAUAACACUCUAGAUUGGGGUUAGGUUAGAUUAGAUUCAGCUAGAACCAAACAUACGAUAAUCAUUUAUUAUUCACGUUAUAGUACCACACCAGAAUAAUUUAUUUAUAUUUCUCAAUGAGAAUUGAUUGUAAACUACUUCCAAAUAAAAAAAAGUGACGUCAGUGUGGUAUUUUCUUUUUACUCUUAUUUCUAUGAGAGUUUUGCUCGCUUCAGCAGCCAGCUGGUUUGGAUGUGUUGCCGUUCUUCCCUUGCAUUUUUCUGCGUUCCGUACGUCCAGAUUGGUUUUAUGAUUGUUUUGUAUAUUUUUAAUUUAUUUUCUAUGCUCAGUUUGGAUUUUCGACUUGUUAGCCAAUGCAUUUGUCUCCUUGUUGUCUGUAUUUUGUCUAUUAUUGAUUUAAUAUGCUGUUUCCAUGUAAGUUGUGUCUAAGUGGAGUCCUAUGUAUUUGACUUGUCUUGUUUGUGUUAUGUGCGUGCCGUUCAGUAGGAUGUUUGGUGGCAUCUGUUUUCGCAAUGUGAAUGUAAUAUGGUUGCAUUUGUUGGGGUUUGCUGUUAUUUGUUUAACUUGC